CUACACUCUUCACCAAAGAGAACAAUAGGCACCUCAAGAUGCCAGUUGGUGCAAAAGCAGCAGCAGCAUCAAAAUUGAAUUUUUCCCAAUUACUGUGGACUAUAUAUCCGAUACAUUUAUGUCAUAAAUAAUUUGUCCUACAAAAAAGAUAUGGGUAUAUCGACCCUCUUUUCUCUUGACGAACCCUGCUUCCUCACAUUUAUAGGUGUUAAAGCUAAAUCAAUCUAUCUAAAUCAGGCAGAUUUCAACUUGGCAGAUGUGGAUGCCAGAUGUGAAAGGGUUCUGUGUCCAACAAACAGUAAGAAGAUCCCUAAGAAUCCAAGUGCUUUCAGUGUUGUGAACAGAUUCAACUUCAACCAGAACAGAGAAUAAAGUGACAGAACGGCCACAAUGGCAAGGUGAAAAAGGAUGGCAAAUGCUGCAGGUGCUGAUGCUGUUGGGAAGUUCUUCAGGUUCACACGUAGUCUCAAAAGCCCAACCAAAAAUCCAACGAAUGGCAAAAGAACAAGGGCCAGAAAUGCAUAAGAAAGGUUGCUCGGAGGUCUUUUCUCUGGAGCCCUAAAAAUGUGAGCUAUUUCUGCCUUGGGGCCAAAUCUAGAGGAAGGAUCAACAGCCUGAGGAGGUGGGCGUGCUGCCUUCUCUGGAGCCUCUGGCAAAUCUAAUUCAACAGAUCCCAAUGGUUGCAAGAACGAGUUCUCCAUUACAGCAUCUCCAACAGUAAGUUGAAUAUCAUAUCUACCCGAUAGAUAGAAAAACUUUUCAACAAGUCCAAGGAAAUCUAGUAUUAUUUCAAAUUGUUUUCCAGAAUUCCCGACCACAAAGAUAUGCUCCACCUUGCUCUCAUGACUCAACUUGAGGAAAGCCUGGUGUGGCUUCAAAGCAUUCCCAAGAGGAGAAGUUAAUUGAAAUGACAACCGUAGCUUUUGAAGAUGGUUUGCUGAUAAGGAGAUGGAGUUCUUUCCAGCCAAAUCAAGCUUUUUACGAGUUUCAAUGUUCCCAAGAUCACUGUCAAGUACAGAAAUAUCUGCAUUAUCAACUUUAAUAACUCCUGUAACGUAUAUGGGUACUUUUGUUCUUCCUCCAGUGGCAUAGAUCAUUUUGUGCUCUGAAUCAUGAAGAACAAUCUCAAAACUGAAAAUGUAACUGCCAACAUCAAUGUCUUUACGCAAAGCAUCCAAGUAAUGCACGCCAUUUUUAUGGUCAAAUUUGAGAUCCUGAUCAAUAACAGAGGCAUCCUUUGAACCAGAGCUGAAAAUCUGCUUCAGUUUGACUGUCAGAGAAGGUGCAGUAGCCCCCAAAACAGUGUUUACUUUUACCUUAAGCUGGUCCUUUCUAGUCAAUGAAAGAACGCUGGUGGGGAGUGAUAAUAUCAAUGGAAUGGAGACCCUAUUGUUUUCCAAAGAAGCCAAUGCUUCAAUUUGAUAAUACAAGUCCUUUGCAUUUCCAGGAACUCCAGCACCAAGGAGAAACCUUGCCAGACCUAGAAUUUUGUCACCUGGAAGAUUUAAAUUUUCGGUAGACACCGCGGCAAAAGCUGUAAUCCCACGCACUACAGCUGAUGAAGCUGAGAGGAGACCCUGAUGUCCAUGAGCAUCAGCAAGUUUUUCAUCAAAGUAAUAGGCUCCAUCAUCAUAUUUCUCUAGACCAUCAAGAAGCUUCGAUAUAUCACUUUUCACCAUGCUAAUCAAAGAUUGAUCAAUCUCAGAAGAAGCUAAUGAAAUGACACCAGCCAGGCUCUCAAGUGCAAUUCCUGCAGCAUAAGUGCUAAACUCAGGAUUGUUGGAGCUAUAACGCCACCUUCCAUCACUUUGGCUGAGAGCCUUUAUGGAGCGGACAACUGAAUCGGCACUUUCAAGAUGUACAUCCACGUCAGAAUUUAGGCCCUUGAUAAGAACUAAACUUCCAACCGAAUAGUAGUAGUCAAGAAGUGAGCUGGCACUUUUCACAGCAUCUUUAAGUCUUGGGGCUAUGCCUGCUAAUGUCUUCUUGUUAAGCUCGCAGUUCAAUAGCCCAUUGACUCUUAAUGCCUGGAACAGAUCUUUCAAUGCUGAAGUAGGAGAUGACAAAGUGUCCCCCACCGUCACACAUGUAGCAACCCUUUGGUCAGGCUGUUUUUUAAUUCCAAGAACUUCAAAUGUCCUUAAGGCCUCGUAUGUUUCUUUAAGGCUAGUAAAAGAUCCAUCUUUGGGUGUAAGCAACUCCAACGCAGCAGAUCGGUGAGAAUCUGAAAUAGGUCUGAAAAUUGCAGCUUCACAGAUCAAUGCACACAACGCUAGAAUCAAAAUUCCUAAAAUUUUCCCCAUUUUGAGUCUGCGCCACAGUAGGGACUGGUAAGAGUGAGGCUAGAUGCACUAUUGAAAAUGGCCAAAAAGCGCACACACACACCCAAACUUAUUACCGAAUUUUUAA
rnacentral:misc_RNA from 1 species